AGAACAUACCCAAAGACAAUGGGUUGCUAACAGACAUUGUAUGGAAACAUAACGGAGCAACAGCUUCGGACCAUUGUGAGCCUGAGAUGCUCAACCAAUGAGUGCCAGGAGAGGCUUUGCCUGUGUUGGACCCAGGGGAGAUAACGGAGUGGAUUUCACUGAUCAGAGAUCUCGGCCUGAUUCGAAAUUGUAGACCUGGAGCGUGUUUCUCACAAAGCUGCAAACAUCAGCCCGAGCUCCAAGGUGGGCGAGGAGGGCCCAGGGAGCAAAGGGCUUCACCGUGGUGCUGGGCAUAAAAGACCUAACGCUGCUUUCUGAGUGUGCUGCUGCAUGCGGGACAGCCGGCAUUGCAGUGGUGAAUAAAGCCUGCUUCGAUCAGA